GUGGGGAAUAUUGCGCAAUGGGCGAAAGCCUGACGCAGCGACGCCGCGUGGGUGAAGAAAUCCUUCGGGAUGUAAAGCUCUGUUGUUUAGGACGAAAGUGCCUGUUGCAAAUAGUUACAGGUAUUGACGGUACUGAACGAGGAAGCCACGGCUAACUACGUGCCAGCAGCCGAGGUAAUACGUAGGUGGCAAGCGUUGUCCGGAAUUAUUGGGCGUAAAGAGCAUGUAGGCGGGAAUCUAAGUCUGUUGUGAAAAUGCGGGGCUCAACCCCGUAAUGCCAUUGGAACUUGGUUUCCUGAGUGCAGGAGAGGAAAGGGGAAUUCCCAGUGUAGCGGUGGAAUGCGUAGAUAUUGGGAGGAACACCAGUGGCGAAGGCGCCUUUCUGGACUGUGUCUGACGCUGAGAUGCGAAAGCCAGGGUAGCGAACGGGAUUAGAAACCCUUGUAGUCC
rnacentral:rRNA from 1 species